rnacentral:ncRNA from 1 species
ACCUCCUGCUCACGUGAUCGUCUUCUCAACCUUCACGGGCAGGCGGAAAACAGGGCCCCCGCGCGGUCGAGUCGCGCGGGGGCCCUGC